AUUGAACGCUGGCGGCAUGCCUUACACAUGCAAGUCGAACGGCAGCACGGGAGCAAUCCUGGUGGCGAGUGGCGAACGGGUGAGUAAUAUAUCGGAACGUGCCCAGUCGUGGGGGAUAACGUAGCGAAAGCUACGCUAAUACCGCAUACGAUCUAUGGAUGAAAGCGGGGGAUCGCAAGACCUCGCGCGAUUGGAGCGGCCGAUAUCAGAUUAGGUAGUUGGUGGGGUAAAGGCUCACCAAGCCGACGAUCUGUAGCUGGUCUGAGAGGACGACCAGCCACACUGGGACUGGGACACGGCCCAGACUCCUACGGGAGGCAGCAGUGGGGAAUUUUGGACAAUGGGCGCAAGCCUGAUCCAGCAAUGCCGCGUGCAGGAUGAAGGCCUUCGGGUUGUAAACUGCUUUCGUACGGAGCGAAAAGGCUUCCACUAAUACUGGGGGCUCAUGACGGUACCGUAAGAAUAAGCACCGGCUAACUACGUGCCAGCCGCCGCCGUAACAC
rnacentral:rRNA from 1 species